CUCACGAUGUUUUUUUUUUAAAAAAUAAAUAAAUAAAUAAAUAAAAGGAUAUUUUUUCAAAUACAAAAGUCGACCUCGCAAUGAGCAAAGACGUUGCGAUGAAUCCCGAAGCUGCCACUGCCUCCCAAACCCACCACCGCCUCCUUCCGCUGCUUUUCCUUCCCGAACCACGCCGCCACCGGGAGCUCCUCUUCUGCCGACUUCAUCCACCCGGUGUAGUAUCCCGCUACCACCCUCAUCUCCCUCGCCACCACCUUCUCCGCCCCCAAAUACUCCUUGGCGAAUGGCUCGACCAUCACCGUCGGCAUGCAGCUCACCGCCACCCGCCUCUUCGCCUUGCUCACCACCUCCCACCCCUCCUCCCCGACGUCCUCCAUCAAGAACUUGGGCAGCACCGCCCUCCCCGCCCUCAUCCCCUUCUCCCUCAGGCCGCAGAACGUCACCAUUGCCAUCAUCCGCAGCGCCGCCUCCUUCCCGAGGCAGCAGAUCGCCGGGUACAGGAUCAGCAGCAGCAUCGCCCUCAUCAGCCCCCCGCUCUCCACCGCCACCAGCAUGAAGUAAGGGAAGGUGGAUCUGUCCCUUAGCACCGCUUCCUCCACGUCGAACACUACGGUUUGGUCCCGCAGCUUCUCCGUCGGAGGGUACCUCUGCGCCUUCCCAUGGUUCGCAUGAAAAGCCCGGAGUCUUCUCGCCAGGAACCGGUAGAACAGAUGGAGGCUCUUGAAGGUCUUCGAGGUCAUGUUGGUGCUUGAUCGGGGCUUCGCUGCUGCCUUUUUUACUUCGCUAUUUAUAGACACGCCACUAAUGGUCCGGUAGUGUGCACUGUGCAGUGCAAGUAUUCGAUGAAAGUUCUGAAAAGCGGAUCCUUCAUUGUUGCGGCGUUGGCUAUGCCCCACCGUGGGCGGCUUGGAGGCCAUACACUUGGGGGAUGGAUGGAUGGAUUGUGAAGGGAGCAUUAAUGCCAUUGAGAAUCUCUCUGGUCGGCAGCACUUCAGAGUGUAGCUUCAACAGGAUGAUAGAGGAAGAUCAAAGAACCUCAACUACAAUCUAGACUUUUAGGCAUCACCAAGAUCAAGAACAGGAUCCUUGUGCGAACGGCCGACGUCCUCCAUCACUUAUCCGAGUUAUAUGUUAUCCUAUAGGUGAACAGCAGAAGAAGAAUAAGAUAUGGACUCCUGCACCAAUCAUAUGGUAUGGAAUUAAAUCUCAUCUCAUGAAUCGCUUACCUCAUCAGUCCUCAUCUUUACCAUUACCAAAAUUAUUUAAUGCGCACACAUCGGUUGAAGAUGUGAUAUAGUUGAUUGACGGUACCGCUUGGGAUGCUAUCAUCUCCUUGAUUACUGGAUGGUUGGUUUUAAUUAAAAAAAAAAGAUCUCCUCUGCUAUUUUUCUAACUCAACAUUCACUUUGUGCACAAUAAGGUUGGUGCCGUCUCAACUCAAGAUGCUAAUCUGAGUUCAUCCAUCAUUCAGUUCAUUCCACCACGUUUCAGUCCUGAGAGCUCUCUUUCAGAGAUCUGUGAGCGAUAUCCAUGGAUGCAGGAUGGGGUGGGCGAUUCUGGGCAGAAUGUUGUCGCUAUAAUUCUUUUCAAUAAGAUCUUGGAAAGUUGGUUGAAACAGGAUGAGCAAUCAAUGAGGUUUAGCUACCAAAGAUACUGACUUUACAGGUGAGUGAAGAAUGAACGAUAGCCACCCAUCACUGGUCCAAGUCUUUCGGUAUUUCUGGUCUUUGAUUCAUGAACCCUACUGCUGCAAUAACCUGGAUGAGCAAAGAACAACUAGUGACGGUCCUCUGAGGAACUAAAACUCAAUCGUUAGUUUGAGAGGAAACUUGUUACAAAUAAUAGAAUCUGUUGUCGAUGUGAAAUGUAAUAGAUUCUUGAAAAAGUAGGAUAACACCAUGCAAAAUUACAAGACCAAGUACAAUAUUCUUCUGGUAUCAAUCUUGGCUUCCAAAGUGUUUGGCAUCCCGAGCACCCACUUUGGCUUCCAAAGUGCUCCCAUCUGAUCUACCACCGAAUCCAUUGUAAGUUUUGUAUGAUGUUAUCUUACUUUUCCAAGAAUCCCUUACAUUUCACAUCUACUACCGAUUCCAUUGUUUAUAGGCAAUCCUGUUUCCACCUUGUGUUCAUAUUUUUAGUGGGCUCAACAUUUAUAGUGUGCUUAGCUAUGCAUCUUUUUCUCAUAACUAUAAUCAACCUAUUCCACCUGCCAAAUGAUCUUGAUUUUUUGUGCUGUAAUAGUCCAUUGUGGAUUGAUGGUUAAGUUUAACCAAUCUUUAGUCUGCAUGUGAAUAUCUUAGU